rnacentral:rRNA from 1 species
GACGAACGCUGGCGGCGUGCCUAACACAUGCAAGUCAACUUGACUGAAGGAGCAAUCUGACAGUAGAGUGGCGCAAGGGUGCGUAACGCGUAAGUAACUUGCCCCAAGGUAAGGAAUAACGUCGAGAAAUCGGCGCUAAUACCUCAUAAUGCAGCGGAUCCGCAUGGAUAUGUUGUUAAAGGUUUACCGCCUUGGGAUAGGCUUGCGUCUGAUUAGUUAGUUGGUGUGGUAACGGCACACCAAGGCUACGAUCAGUAACUGGUCUGAGAGGAUGAUCAGUCACGCUGGAACUGAGACACGGUCCAGACUCCUACGGGAGGCAGCAGUGAGGAAUAUUGGGCAAUGCUCGAAAGAGUGACCCAGCAACGCCGCGUGGAGGAUGAAGGUAUUCUAUAUCGUAAACUCCUGUGAGAGCAGACGAAAGACAGAUUAUUAAUCUGGAUGACUGUAUGCUCAGAGGAAGACCCCGGCUAAC